AGUGAACGCUGGCGGUAGGCCUAACACAUGCAAGUCGAACGGCAGCACAGUAAGAGCUUGCUCUUACGGGUGGCGAGUGGCGGACGGGUGAGGAAUACAUCGGAAUCUACUUUUUCGUGGGGGAUAACGUAGGGAAACUUACGCUAAUACCGCAUACGACCUACGGGUGAAAGCAGGGGAUCUUCGGACCUUGCGCGAUUGAAUGAGCCGAUGUCGGAUUAGCUAGUUGGCGGGGUAAAGGCCCACCAAGGCGACGAUCCGUAGCUGGUCUGAGAGGAUGGUCAGCCACACUGGAACUGAGACACGGUCCAGACUCCUACGGGAGGCAGCAGUGGGGAAUAGUGGACAAUGGGCGGAAGCCUGAUCCAGCCAUACCGCGUGGGUGAAGAAGGCCUUCGGGUUGUAAAGCCCUUUUGUUGGGAAAGAAAAGCAGCAGGUUAAGACCCCGCUGUUCUGACGGUACCCAAAGAAUAAGCACCGGCUAACUUCGUG
rnacentral:rRNA from 1 species